rnacentral:rRNA from 1 species
GAUCCUGGCUCAGAUUGAACGCUGGCGGCAUGCCUUACACAUGCAAGUCGAACGGCAGCGGACCUUCGGGUGCCGGCGAGUGGCGAACGGGUGAGUAAUGCAUCGGAACGUGCCAUUGAGCGGGGGAUAACGUAGCGAAAGUUACGCUAAUACCGCAUAUUCUGUGAGCAGGAAAGCAGGGGACCGCAAGGCCUUGCGCUCUUUGAGCGGCCGAUGCCAGAUUAGCUAGUUGGUGAGGUAAAGGCUUACCAAGGCGACGAUCUGUAGCGGGUCUGAGAGGAUGAUCCGCCACACUGGAACUGAGACACGGUCCAGACUCCUACGGGAGGCAGCAGUGGGGAAUUUUGGACAAUGGGCGCAAGCCUGAUCCAGCCAUGCCGCGUGAGUGAAGAAGGCCUUCGGGUUGUAAAGCUCUUUCGGCCGGGAAGAAAUCGCAUGGGUUAAUACCCUGUGUGGAUGACGGUACCGGAAUAAGAAGCACCGGCUAACUACGUG